rnacentral:lncRNA from 1 species
GUCUUAUCUUGCCAAACAACCGAACUAAAGGAAACAAAUUGUGCGGCUCAAUAGGCUUCCCUGUACAACUAACAGGGAUUUAAAUCUAAUUUGGGAUUGUGUUGUGAUAGAAGUGUAGGAUAUAAUAAAAGAGUAAUGAUACAGCCACAAACUCUUGUACAAACUUAUUUUGUACAAACUGACGUGGCAUUAAUUCAUUGGUUGAAUGAAAAUAUAAAUUAAUAAAAAUAAAUCAUGUGGGCUAAGUGAUAUUUAAUUCAACCAAUCUUAUCAUGCCACAUCAGUUUGUACAAAAUAAGUUUGUACAAGAGUUUGUGGUUGUAUCAUUACUCAUAAUAAAAUGGUAAAAUUUGACAAUUCAAAAACAAUUAGGAGCUCUCUUAUUACUUCACAACUCAUUAAAUUAGAAAUGAAAUGAAUAAAGUUGGAUGGAUGCUUACAUGAUAAUCAUCGUCCAAGUAAUCAUGCUGCAAAACAAAUAAUCUGAUUUAGAAACUACAUUUUUGUGCAAAAUAUGUAUGAAAAUGUCUAGAUUUAAUAAGCAUUCAAAUUACUUUAGAAUACCAUAUACACCAACAUUAUUUAAAAUGUAACAAAAUGCCCAUUUAUAUGACAACAUCAUGUCAAGCAGUUUAUCAUCGUGUUGCUAUAUCAUCGUCUAUUAGAAGCUACAUGAUCUUGAAAAGAAAGAAAAGCAACAGCAAAGGAAUGAAAGAAGAAGCUUAGUCCAAAAAUAAGAUGAAUACGCCAGAUUUAUACAUAUAAUACUAGGAAGAUGAGUUAGUAAACAUGAAGGACUUCAAAGGAAAAUUGAAAAAAAAACAAGUAAUUGACAUCUUAGGCCAUUCAAGCUCAAUGAUUAGCAUGCCAAUGGGCUCGUAGCCCAUUAGCGGCCCAUGCGCUCAAGCUUGGGUUCGAGUCCCAGCAAUGGUUGGGACUCGAACUCCCCUUUUAGUAGGGAUCUACUUGUCUCCCCACAUUUAGGACAGAAUCGAUCUCUCUCCAGCAUUAAGUGAGGGUUGACCCAUAAUAGAAUUAUUAAAGGAGAGUCCCGAUAUAUCUCGACCUUCGGACUGAACCAUACUAGAAUUAUUAAAGGAGAGUCUAGAUAUAUCUAUAAUUAUAAAUAUCAAUAAAGUUCUUAUUUUAAUAUAUCAGUAAAUAAAAAAAAAAAGGCUUAAUGAGUAGCAGCACAUCACCAAAAAUUUAAUGGAAUGGGAUAAGAAGAAGAAGCAAAUAAUAUUUAAUUGAAAUGAAAAAUUAUAAUAAUUGAAAGAGAAAACAAGAUGCAAACCCU